rnacentral:snRNA from 1 species
GUGCUCGCUUCAGCAGCACAUAUACUAAAAUUGGAACGAUACAGAGAAGAUUAGCAUGGCCCCUGCUCAAGGAUGACACGCAAAUUCGUGAAGUGUUCCAUAUUUAA